CUGGAAACGGUUGCUAAUACCGCAUAAUACUGGACACGAGGGAUUGUGACUGGUAAAAACUCUGGUGCUUCAGGAGGGGCCUGCGGCCGAUUAGCUAGUUGGUGGGGUAAGAGCCUACCAAGGCAUUGAUCGGUAGCUGGUCUGAGAGGACGAUCAGCCACACGGGAACUGAGACACGGUCCCGACUCCUACGGGGGGCAGCAGUGAGGAAUAUUGGGCAAUGGGCGCAAGCCUGACCCAGCAACGCCGCGUGGAGGAAGACGGCCUUCGGGUUGUAAACUCCUUUUACGGGGGAAGAGCAAGGACGGUACCCCGAGAAUAAGUCACGGCUAACUACGUGCCAGCAGCCGCGGUAAUACGUAGGUGACAAGCGUUAUCCGGAAUUACUGGGCGUAAAGCGCACGCAGGCGGCGCAUUAAGUCUGGCGUGAAAUCUCC
rnacentral:rRNA from 1 species